rnacentral:rRNA from 1 species
GACGAACGCUGGCGGCGUGCUUAACACAUGCAAGUCGAACGGAAAGGCCCUGCUUUUGUGGGGUGCUCGAGUGGCGAACGGGUGAGUAACACGUGAGUAACCUGCCCUUGACUUUGGGAUAACUUCAGGAAACUGGGGCUAAUACCGGAUAGGAGCUCCUGCUGCAUGGUGGGGGUUGGAAAGUUUCGGCGGUUGGGGAUGGACUCGCGGCUUAUCAGCUUGUUGGUGGGGUAGUGGCUUACCAAGGCUUUGACGGGUAGCCGGCCUGAGAGGGUGACCGGCCACAUUGGGACUGAGAUACGGCCCAGACUCCUACGGGAGGCAGCAGUGGGGAAUAUUGCACAAUGGGCGGAAGCCUGAUGCAGCAACGCCGCGUGCGGGAUGACGGCCUUCGGGUUGUAAACCGCUUUCGCCUGUGACGAAGCGUGAGUGACGGUAAUGGGUAAAGAAGCACCGGCUAACUACGUGCCAGCAGCCGCGGUGAUACGUAGGGUGCGAGCGUUGUCCGGAUUUAUUGGGCGUAAAGGGCUCGUAGGUGGUUGAUCGCGUCGGAAGUGUAAUCUUGGGGCUUAACCCUGAGCGUGCCUUCGAUACGGGUUGACUUGAGGAAGGUAGGGGAGAAUGGAAUUCCUGGUGGAGCGGUGGAAUGCGCAGAUAUCAGGAGGAACACCAGUGGCGAAGGCGGUUCUCUGGGCCUUUCCUGACGCUGAGGAGCGAAAGCGUGGGGAGCGAACAGGCUUAGAUACCCUGGUAGUCCACGCUGUAAACGGUGGGUACUAGGUGUGGGGUCCAUUCCACGGGUUCCGUGCCGUAGCUAACGCCUUAAGUACCCCGCCUGGGGAGUACGGCCGCAAGGCUAAAACUCAAAGGAAUUGACGGGGCCCCGCACAAGCGGCGGAGCAUGCGGAUUAAUUCGAUGCAACGCGUAGAACCUUACCUGGGUUUGACAUGGAUCGGGAGUGCUCAGAGAUGGGUGUGCCUCUUUUGGGGUCGGUUCACAGGUGGUGCAUGGCUGUCGUCAGCUCGUGUCGUGAGAUGUUGGGUUAAGUCCCGCAACGAGCGCAACCCUUGUUCACUGUUGCCAGCACGUUAUGGUGGGGACUCAGUGGAGACCGCCGGGGUCAACUCGGAGGAAGGUGGGGAUGACGUCAAGUCAUCAUGCCCCUUAUGUCCAGGGCUUCACGCAUGCUACAAUGGCUGGUACAGAGAGUGGCGAGCCUGUGAGGGUGAGCGAAUCUCGGAAAGCCGGUCUCAGUUCGGAUUGGGGUCUGCAACUCGACCUCAUGAAGUCGGAGUCGCUAGUAAUCGCAGAUCAGCAACGCUGCGGUGAAUACGUUCCCGGGGCUU